rnacentral:rRNA from 1 species
UACGUAGGGAGCGAGCGUUGUCCGGAUUCAUUGGGCGUAAAGAGCUCGUAGGCGGCUUGGCAAGUCGGGUGUGAAAACUCCAGCUCAACCUGGAGACGCCACCCGAUACUGCCAUGGCUAGAGUCCGGUAGGGGACCACGGAAUUCCUGGUGUAGCGGUGAAAUGCGCAGAUAUCGAGGAGGAACACCGGUGGCGAAGGCGGUGGUCUGGGCCGGAACUGACGCUGAGGAGCGAAAGCGUGGGGAGCGAACAGGAU